AAGUCGUAACAAGGUCUCCGUAGGUGAACCUGCGGAGGGAUCAUUCACGAACCGAUGACCUUUGUGGUCUUCUACCCUUCAACCCAUGUGGAGUUAGAAUCGUGGCUUCGGUCUUUGGACCGGCAUUUAUGCUGUAGACAGUGUCUGAUUUGUUGAUGAAAUCAAAACUUUCAACAAAGGAUCUCUUGGCUCUUGCAUCGAUGAAGAACGCAGCGAAGCGCGAAAUGUAAUGUGAAUCGCAGAAUUUGUGAAUCAUCGAAUCUUUGAACGCACAUUGCGCCUCCCGUUACAAGGAGGCAUGCCUGUCUGAGCGUCGUCAAAACCCAUAUACUUCUGUAUGUGUUGGGCCCUCGUCUGCAACGGCGUGGCCUCGAAGCGAUUGGCUUCGAGAGCGGAUGAAAUUCCUAUGGGAUGGACCGUUCUCUGCCUCGACACGAAUUGAGAGUUGACCUCAGAUCAGGUAGGACCACCGCCUGAACUUAA
rnacentral:rRNA from 1 species